GCGCUUUAGCUCAGGGGUAGAGCAUUGUACUAGUAAUGCAAGUGUCGUGAGUUCAAAUCUCAUUUGUGCC
rnacentral:tRNA from 1 species